rnacentral:rRNA from 1 species
GGCCGCGGGAAUUCGAUUCAGGCCUAACACAUGCAAGUCGAACGGAGUUAAUAUGAAGGAGAUCUUCGGAUCAACGGAUUAUUAACUUAGUGGCGGACGGGUGAGUAACGCGUGAGUAACCUGCCUUUGAGAGGGGGAUAACGUUCUGAAAAGAACGCUAAUACCGCAUGACAUAUCGGAGCCGCAUAACUCUGAUAUCAAAGAUUUUAUCGCUCAAAGAUGGACUCGCGUCCGAUUAGUUAGUUGGUGAGGUAACGGCUCACCAAGACCGCGAUCGGUAGUCGGACUGAGAGGUUGAACGGCCACAUUGGGACUGAGACACGGCCCAGACUCCUACGGGAGGCAGCAGUGGGGGAUAUUGCGCAAUGGGGGCAACCCUGACGCAGCAACGCCGCGUGAAGGAAAAGGGUUUUCGGAUUGUAAACUUCUUUCUAGGGACGAACAAUGAC